ACCUUGAUGGAAAGUGGAAAUAAAUCACAGACGGAUUAAUAUGACGGUUAACUGUCUAAUUACGACAAAUGGUGUACACUAUUCAGACUUUAUCCUACAUUUUUGUAGUCAAUUCGGAAAGCUUCAUUUUCAAAGUAUUUACCACAUGUUAGGAGACGUGAAAAUUGUUCACGAGGGUAGUGCGCAGCAGCAAAAUAUGCUAUUCAUUAUUUGGGCAGCUCCUGCUACGUACUCGUAAGAGACAGAGUCUGACUUUGGGGUACACUUAGUCGAUAUUGUGUUAAUUAUCCUCCUGACAUGCGGCCAUCAGCGAAUAGUAAGACUAGAUUUUCUUUUGGUGGAAAAAAGAGUAAACACAUGCAUGUUCAAUCACUAUAAUACUCUGAAAAUGAAAGUUUCUGAUUGAAUCUGAAGGGACAUUUCGUCAACUUAUCGUCACCUCUUUUGAUACUUGGAAAAGAAAGUGGUUGAGUAGAGCUACAAAUUUACUCACUAAUAGGAUGAUGUUUCCAGUUUCCAUCGCUGAAUACGGGUGGGAUUUACUUGUAAAUUCAUACAACGCGUUCACAAAAGUAAAUUAAAUGCACAAGGGUUUGAAGACCACGUCGUCGGGAUGAGGACUCGCUUCCUCUUCUAUGUAGUGGUGUGGAUAAUGAGCUAAGCAAUCCACGGCACCAAAUACUCGGUGAAUAACUGCUUGACCAAAGAACAGAGUUAAAAUAUUGAUCAGCCAUAAUGUAUUUAAUUAUUUAUUUGAGGACAUCCGACUUCCGAUCGUUGUUCGAACUAGGUUUAAGGCACAAUAACAAAACAACAUAACCUCAUCAACACACCGCCACGCCGCGCCGGUAAGUCGUUGGUCGUUGCCGGUGAGGAGGCAACGAGGAGAGGGGCAAGGGGCAAUUACUUUCCGCCAUUUUGCUAAUGGUAUUGUUCCCGGUUCCCGGUCCCGCGCGUUUCUUUGUCUUGUCCAGGAAUUUCUGUGAAUGUGCGUGGUGCGUCUUGUCUUGUGCUUUCGACUGGUUGACUAAUGUACUUUCGUAUCAUGCUUCGUAUCUAAAAGUCAAAAGAGUGUUCCAUAAGUUCUUGAUCUGCGUCGCAGUAUUGCCUCCCUCCAACUCCAACAAUGAGCGGAUCAAAACCGACCAAAGAUUCUGCAAACCCAAAUGAACCACUGGUAGAAGAUCUUUGGACUCUAGUCUUCAACCUGGAGGAAGAUGAAUAUGAUGUUUUUUCAAACAACUGGAUCAAAGAUGAUGAGGAAAUUGAAAGAGGCGUAUUCAAUGCUAAAUAUCCUCCGGAGAGGUUUAAUGCCAAUGUUUAGCAAAAAAAGGACAAAAAUAUACGGAUGAAUGGAAAACUGUGACUGUUAAAUUAAUCGAAAAGAACUAUCGUAAGCAUCUUCCUAAUUUUUUCCAAUUUCAGCAUCUCAUACUUUAAUCCUAUUAAUUUCCAUCUAAUUUGUGUCCUUCAAGUUAG
rnacentral:lncRNA from 1 species